UGAUUAUUAUUAGAAAUAUCAAACAUUUAAGUGGAUUUUCUGUUACAUGUAUUGUCUUAGCCCUGCGAUAACUGGCAGCCUGUCUUUGUCCUGUAUCAGCUGGGAUAGGCUUCAUCCUCCCGCGACCUUGAAUUGGAUACAUGAAUUGUAUUGAAUUGUAUUCCAAUUAUGUAAUCUGAUCAAUUACAAACUCAAGGUAUCUAAUCAAAAUGUAAGUAAUAAUGAUAAAAAUGGGAAAGCAGAAAUAAGUGUGACAUGAAUGUAAAUGUGUGAGCUGACAUAGAGGACAGCUACAUGUAGUCUGAAAAACCUUUGUUGUCAAAUUUGCAGGUCUAUCACGAGACAUUCUUACAUAGAAGAGACUGUUAAAGUCUCUAACUCAGUGAAGCAUUAUUGGUCCAGUCUGUUUGGAUAAAUAUAGAGGCGCUGAAAGGUUUCCCUAAUAGUUCCUGGUGAAUCAAAGCAGAACCAUAAAGGUUGCUGGACUGCAUCGUGGCCUUACCCCUGAGCAGUCAUCCUGUUAAAGGAGGAACCAGUUAGAAGCUGUUUUCAAAGUAGCUGAGCAGAUUUCACCUCAACAGACAAAGCCGAUGGCAGAAGAUGUUUGGAGAAGAACUUCAGGCCGUGUACUGAAAAGUAGAUCAAAGUAGCUCGUGCUCUGUCUGCUUCCAUUCUGAUGGCAAGAAGAAGAAGAAGGAGAAGAAUGCUUCAGCGAAGUGGCGUUCAUGGUCUCAGUGGACAGUCAUGGUCACACACUGCAUGUGGUUUUAAAAGCAACAUUGUUCACCACAACAAUGGAGAUGUGUAAUAUCAGUGCAGCUACGGUUUGUUCUUGAACAUCAGUUCUGUUUUCUACUUUGACCACUUAGACCAAAAAAGUGUUGUUUUCAGAUUCUUUCUUUUUAAAUCUAUAAAGCACCUGUUCAUUUUUUAUUACAAUUAGUUUCACAUAAAUGUUAGUGUUUCCUUUAUGAUCUUUUAAUGCUUACACUACACUGUA